rnacentral:lncRNA from 7 species
CGUUGUUGAUUUUUUAAUUUAUUGGUUAUCAUUUAUUUGAGAUGAGUUUUUAAAAGCACAAUGGAUUUCUGAAGAUUAUUAAUACUAAAUAAUGAAGAUGAAACAAAAUGAAUGGACAAGUGUAAAAACAAUGCUAAAACCAAACCUAGUAGAGGUAUGUGUUGCAAACUUGUAGUUAGUAAAUUUUGCUAUAAAAUAAUUAGACGAUCAUUAGUUCAGCUUUUAUCUUUGAUACUUGUAAUGAUUCCCCUUUUUACACCUCUACUUUGAAACUAG